rnacentral:rRNA from 1 species
AGCGAACGCUGGCGGCAGGCUUAACACAUGCAAGUCGAGCGCCCCGCGAGGGGAGCGGCAGACGGGAGAGUAACACGUGGGAACGUACCCUUUAGUUCGGAACAACCCAGGGAAACUUGGGCUAAUACCGGAUACGUCCGUAAGGAGAAAGAUUUAUCGCUAAAGGAUCGGCCCGCGUCUGAUUAGCUAGUUGGUGAGGUAACGGCUCACCAAGGCGACGAUCAGUAGCUGGUCUGAGAGGAUGAUCAGCCUCACUGGGACUGAGACACGGCCCAGACUCCUACGGGAGGCAGCAGUGGGGAAUAUUGGACAAAGGGCGCAAGCCUGAUCCAGCCAUGCCGCGUGGGUGAUGAAGGCCCUAGGGUUGUAAGGCCCUUUCGGCGGGGAAGAUAAUGACGGUACCCGCAGAAUAAGCACCGGCUAACUCCGUGCCAGCCGCCGCCGUAA